CAGCUGUGAUGUCUUUACAGUCUUGGUGGUUCAACCAAGGCCCAAAGAAUUUAGGGUACAUUGAUUAAAUAUCCCUACUUUUGACACCCUUCAAAUAUACCCUUAUCACAGAAUAAUUAUACCCCUCCUACAUUUAGAAGUUGGAGCCCGAAAUGUCAUAUUACCGAAAUAUCCUUCUAUAUAUUACGAUAAUAGCAGUUAUAGCCCAUGUUUUUCCUCCAGUUUCAUUCCGGCGUUUCUCUUCUCUCUCUCAUAACGGAACAUAAACCCCGAUCAUAAAUAUCAAAAGAACUGAAAUCAACCGAUAGAAAAAUCGAAUUAUAAUUCAUCAAAUGCAAGUUACGAUAUCAUUUGAGGCUUAAGAAGAUCAAAAUCAAGACAGAAACCAUCAAGAAAGAAGAAAAAAGUUAGGGUAAAAUAAUUUUUCAAUAAUCAAUUUACCGUCGUCGUCAACUUCGAUUUGAAGAUUCAAACAAAGAAUUCUUCUUCAGUUUCUUAAUCAAGGUGUUCUUAAAUAGUUACAAAGAUGAGUGGUUGACCGCAUAUUGAAGAAAAAAAAAUGCGGAAACCACCAAAUGUACAUUUGAAGAAGAAAAUGCAAGAAGAGAAAGAAUCACCAGAAGUUAAGAAAGGUAAAACACCAAAAGCAAAGACGAAGAAGAAAAUGCAAGAAGAGGAGGUACCCCAGAAGUUCUAAAAGGUAAAACUAAUUAAAUUGUAUAUGUGGAUAGUUGACUUAACUAAGAAGAUGCAAACAAGGAGAGUCAAGAUGCUACUUUGCAUUAUGACAGAAUAUGGUGCAUAAAAGCUAGAGUAUAACCACCAGCAACAGCAGGAGGAGCACCUAGACCAACAAGAUAGAUGUUCAAGAGAUAUUUCCUCGACCUCGACCGACUCAGUUGAAGACAGUCUAAUGUAGGUCUUAAACAUGUUAAUUAGGUAUUGUAGUGGUAUUUAACAUCUUAUAAUGUAUAGUUCUAAAAACUACCUUUUUUUGUGUAAUGGGAUUAAACAUCUUAACGCAUGUAUGAAGAAGUUACAGAAUUAAACGACUGAUGUUGUUACUUAUUUUUUUU